AUGUCUAUUGGGAACAUGUGAAAAAAAUCUAUUUUGUUGUUAAUUUACCGAUAAAAUUGAAGAUUUAUGAUAAUUUAUUAGCUUUAUCCAUAAGAUUAGGUAUUUUCAAUGAAUUGUCUAAGAUGUUUUCAUUUCUGUAGGCCUCAUAUUCACAUUGUAUCAAAGAUUUUUUUUAAGUAGGCAGUGUCAUUAAACCUUGUAAGUAUAUUGCAU
rnacentral:lncRNA from 1 species